UUGCAUAUUCUAUCUCACAAAUGAAUCUUCGGACAAGACGACAAAUUGACUAAAAACGUUAGUGUUUUGGAGAACCAUUGCUAAGCGAAGUGAAGACAAACAGAAUUUGGCGAAGCAUUAGCAACAGAAUCUGGUUGAAAGACUUGUGUCCAAGAAAUUUACACCAUAUAAGUAAUAUUUGGUGAAGUGGAAAGGUUACAAAGAAGAAGAAAGUACUUGGAAGCCAAAAGUUAACCUGCCCGUACCAGUAAGCAAAGAGUACGUUCAUAGCCAAAUAUCAGAUGAUUAUCUAGCUGUUGUGGCUCUUAAGUUUGAACUACCAAUCCAAACAAGACUCAAACACAGGAACAGCAAAACAGUCGUUGACUUUAAUUCACGGAUAUUUACUGGUUUAAUUGCCACUCAGUGAACAUUGGCUCUAUAACAUUAAUAACGCUUGUAGAGGUUAUCAGCUACACUUUUCCGUCAUGCAGACUCCAGCCGAAGCUGUUAUCGAAGUAAACAUUAGCGGAGAAGAGAGAAAAGUGGCUAAAAUGUCUGAAGAACUUCGUCCAAAAAUUGACAAAUUUAAACAUAUGCUUUACACUGGCUCUCACUCUCCUUGCCUUUCUAAGAACUUUGCAGAAGAUCCACAGUUGUGCCUUACACUUGACUUGACUAGUUUAUUUGUUAAAGAAGUCGAAAAGACAAAGAGUGAUUUUCCCGCCUUUUCUUAUGUUGACAUUAUAAAUUCCCAGCUUCAUGCCUAUCAACUAGUAAACUGUGAUAGGCUAGAAAAUCGAUUUUUCUCAUUAUGUAACAAAGUAAAUUUGGAUUUGAGAACUGCAUAUCGCAGUGGCAGGAAGCGUCAACUGUACAAGACACGUGUUUUCAAAGUGGCAGUUUUCCAAUAUGAAAUUAUUAGUGGUCAAGGAUGUUAAUAUUCAGUUACAACAUUUUAAAUUUGAAAAUUUAGAACUUGAAAACAGGUUUGAGUAACUUUUAAGUUUGCAUCAGUCAGAAAUUAUUUCUGUAAAUGAUCCGAAAAAGCAGAUAUCUGCAUGUAAUAGAAAACCCUUUAAAGUUUGUUGGUUAACAAUAAGAACCUUGUAGUUUAUGUAAAGAAAUAAAGAUUUUGACUCUAUACUAUCA